UGGGGAAUAUUGGACAAUGGGCGCAAGCCUGAUCCAGCAAUGCCGCGUGGGUGAAGAAGGUCUUCGGAUUGUAAAGCCCUUUCGACGGGACGAUGAUGACGGUACCCGUAGAAGAAGCCCGCUAACAUUCGUGCCAGCAGCCGCGGUAAUACGAAGGGGCGUAGCGUUGCUCGGAAUGACUGGGCGUAAAGGGCGCGUAGGCGGCUUGCACAGUCAGGCGUGAAAUUCCUGGGCUCAACCUGGGACGUGCGCUUGAGACGUGUGGGCUUGAGU
rnacentral:rRNA from 1 species